rnacentral:misc_RNA from 1 species
GAGCAACUCGUCGACGGCAGCGCAAGCCGCUCAUCCCCAACCUGUUACGGUCCGCGAACAAGACCAGUAUAUGCCAAUAGCUAAUGUGAUUCGCAUCAUGCGUCGCAUCCUUCCAGCUCAUGCUAAAAUCUCUGAUGAUGCUAAGGAAACUAUCCAGGAAUGCGUCUCCGAGUACAUAAGCUUCAUCACUGGAGAGGCCAAUGAACGUUGUCAGCGGGAGCAACGCAAGACUAUCACUGCUGAGGACGUGCUUUGGGCUAUGGGAAAGCUGGGUUUUGAUGACUAUGUUGAACCUCUCACAGUGUUCCUCAACCGCUACCGUGAAACGGAGAAUGAGCGUAGCUCUAUACGUGAUCCCAUCCUGAAGCGCAGUAGCGUUGGAGUUGUGGAAUAUGAAAGUCUAGGGAUGCCUCCUUUCAUACCAAGUUAUCCCAGGGGGCCUCCUCCGCAGGGAAUUUUUGAUGGUGCAAUGAUGGGUGGGUACUACAAGGAUACAUCUGAUUCUGCCGCUGGCAUUGGUGGUUCCUCUGAUUCAAAUUCCCUCGCCAACUUUGAUCCAUUUGCUCAGUUUAAGUGACGACAUGAAUGAUAGACAAGAAAGUGCUAGGACUACAAGGAAUAAAAGGGAUAUUAUAAAACUAAUUGAAGAAGAAUAUAGCAUGCAUGGCACAGAUGAGAUGGAGAAGCAAGAUUUCUCCGGUGCCUUGUCUUACUUUGUACCUUUCUUCUUUUCGAACUGCCAAAUUAGUAGCUUUUAUCUGCUCUUAUUUUUAAUCAAAACAAUGAUGCUUC